CCAGGGGCGGAUCCAGGAUUUGAAUAUUGAGGGGGCCAAAACUUGUGUCGCUAUAUUCAUUGUCGAUUGUGUGGGAGAAUUUAGAAUUCAUUACAUAUUUAGAAAACUCCGUGACCUAAAUUUUCUAUUGGUAGUUUGAUAUCAAUAUCUCGAAAUAAUAUUGUGACAUUGAAAUAAGCUGUCGGUCCUUGUUUCACAUCGGAGCUACAUGCGAACUUGUUAGGGUAGAAUUCAAUUUGCCAUCCUUUUGAUCAUUCACAUCUAUUCAGCAUCUAUUGCUUUGCAUUUCAUUAUUGCUAUUCAUAAUAUUGGUUUAUUAAUUGAUUAGGUACUCUAAUUACUACAUCAAGUUGAAGCGUCUGAGUAUUCGAAUUGCUUUCCUCUCACAUUCGUGGCAUUCUUCAUAUGCAGUCUAGAAGAUAUGGAGUCUGUCAAGUCUGCAA